GAUGAUAUAACUCAUCAACUGGCCAUGAUCAUAAGGCACAAUGAGAAUCUGAAGAGACAAGAGAAGAAUGGAUCUCCUGCACAUAUUAUAUCUGAGUUUGUGCAGUUAUUGCUUUUCCAAGUAGCAAAAUACUUUGAUAAUGAGUUCAAAUGGUUUAUUGCAUUUGAGAUUUGACAAAAUUUUAGUAGAAACAACUCUAAGUUCUUAUGCUCAUCAUAUUUUACAUGCCAGUUAUUGUUUUCCAUACUGUGUCACUUGAAUUAGCAAUGCCAACUCUUCCAACAUAGGAUUUCAGCUAUUGAAGAAGCAUGGGUGGAAAGAAGGGACUGGUCUUGGAGUCUCUGAGCAGUGGACAAAGUGGAAGCCUUGAAGCACUACAAAUUUAGCUUAGCAUUUGAAAAUUCUAAUGAGGAAGAUUAUGUAAUUGAAAAAUUAUUCCAAUCCAUUGUUGUUGGUAUGCAUAUAUAUUUUAUCUCUAUUCUCUUGCUUGCAUUUACUCUAUAUACAACAUUAUUAAUGUAACACUAGAUGUUCGUGGGCUUCAAGAACACUUGCAUCCAAUCUGAUUUUUUUUACAUCUAA